UUGUUAGAGGGAUGUAGAGCAUUGCAUGUUUGAGUCUUGUGCCACUUCCAUAAUGUUUCCACGCCUGUUCUGCCCUUCUCUUCCAG
rnacentral:miRNA from 1 species